rnacentral:tRNA from 1 species
GGAUUGUGGCUCAGCGGUUGAGCGCUCCCCAAGCACACGUGAGGCCCUGGGUUCAAUCCUCAGCACCA